AUUGAACGCUGGCGGCAUGCCUUACACAUGCAAGUCGAACGGCAGCACGGGUGCUUGCACCUGGUGGCGAGUGGCGAACGGGUGAGUAAUACAUCGGAACAUGUCCUGUAGUGGGGGAUAGCCCGGCGAAAGCCGGAUUAAUACCGCAUACGAUCUACGGAUGAAAGCGGGGGACCUUCGGGCCUCGCGCUAUAGGGUUGGCCGAUGGCUGAUUAGCUAGUUGGUGGGGUAAAGGCCUACCAAGGCGACGAUCAGUAGCUGGUCUGAGAGGACGACCAGCCACACUGGGACUGAGACACGGCCCAGACUCCUACGGGAGGCAGCAGUGGGGAAUGUUGGACAAUGGGCGAAAGCCUGAUCCAGCAAUGCCGCGUGUGUGAAGAAGGCCUUCGGGUUGUAAAGCACUUUUGUCCGGAAAGAAAGCCUUGGCUCUAAUACAGGCGGGGGAUGACGGUACCGGAAGAAUAAGCACCGGCUAACUACGUG
rnacentral:rRNA from 1 species